CCUGAUGAAGAGCAGUAGAACACUGGUGAACGGAGUACGGGUGGCUCUGCCCCACUCCCCCUCUCCUCUCAUGUCUAUUAGUCUUGCUGGUCAGUUCAUCACCCUUCAAACAUCCUUUGGCCUGAGGGUGCGUUGGGAUGGAAACCAUUAUGCCCAGAUCUCAGUUCCCAGCUCCUACUAUGACCAAAUGUGUGGCCUUUGUGGUGACUAUGAUGGGAACCCAGACAAUGACUUCACCAAACCAGAUGGCACUGUGGCAGA